CCAGCCCCAAAUACCUGCUGCUAAAGAUGAGGGGGAGGCAGGAGCAGAGCAGGGGUGAGGAAGGGGGACUCCCCAUCUGCUGGGAAUCCUCUAGGUUAUCUGUGCAGGCGCGUACGUGCUGAUCGUACACCCCCGGCACUGCCGACAGCCUCCGGCUGUAGGGAGACGAGGGUUGGGAAGUACAUUGGGCGCAGCGGAGGCAUGGCAUGGCUGCCCAGGGAAGCAGCCUGCGGUAGCCGUUCCACAUCUGUCCCUCACGUGGGUGCUGAGCUAAGGCUGAAGAUGCCUUUUGUGCAGCUCUUUUCGGUAGCGAGUUAAUUGAAGCGGACACGGGCAUCUUCAGCGAGGAGUGAAAGCGCAUUUUGCACGCAGAGAUACAGAUUUGUGGGUCCCUUUCUUCCCUGCCCAAGGAGCCAGAAAGUUUUACGAACCGUUUUGCAUCCAGUCCAUGAAAAGUGAAACUUCAGGCUUCAGUCCGGAGCAUUGACACUGGAAGCAGAAGAGACUUUGCACAGUCACAUCCGACCAUCCAGAAGCAGCUGAGUCAGUCCGCUAGAGUAUUCAUGCUCCCGGCAAGACAGCUGCAGGCAGAUGCAUCUCAGGUUGAACGCACCGCUUCCAGGAGUCAGCUCUUUCCUGAGCGAAAGGAUUGCUAAUUCCUCCGAUGCCAGGAGAGGCCAGUGAGGAGAGGGGGAUGCUCCACCUGAACAGCCUGCAGAAAGGGACCAACGGCAGCUCCCGCUCACUGACCUUCUGCUCUCGCUCGACCAGGCAGUGCUGUGCCCAGGAAAGAGCAAAAGACGGACUGCAAAGCAGUGAAGGAGCCGCUGUGUCAGUCCAGUCAUUGACUGCCAAACCCUCCUUCCGUCUUGGAAAGGUGGCUGCGCAGCUCUCCUGAAGGAAAAGGUUUAACCGCUUGUAGUGGAAAAGCAUGGCCUGAAGGGAUCAAAAUAAGCUACAGCAGUUUUUUAUCACUACUUAUGCAGCCAGGCCAGAGAACUGAGCAGCAGGCUCUACUUGCUGGCAAACCAAGGGCGACCAUGACAACUGCAGAACUUGGUAGAUCCUCAGAGACAGAGAAUACGGAAGAUCUGCAGGAACCUGUCCAGCUAGCGCCUAGUCUGCUUUCUAGGCAACUGACAGGCACCUCCAGUUCUCUCCCUGCACGUUGCUGGAAGACUGAAAAGUCCAUCUAUAGCUGUCUUAACCACACUAAUCACACUUUAAUGCAAGUGCUACACUUACGAUUCUCUAGGUAUGUGGUAACACCUCCAGUUUGACAUUUAUUAAAAAUUGUACUGAAAAUUCCAAAAUUAUGUCCCAUUCUUUUUACAUGCCACCUUCUUGUUUCUCUGUGCUGGUUUGCUUCCACUUCAGACACUAACUUUCCCUUCUACACAUGCUGUCACUAGCCACAUGCUGCAUUUCCCAUUAUUUCACAUUACCCUCCUUACUAAAAGCUGAAGCAAAAUAUCCAUCUAUUUUUGCAGCCAUAGAUUAUUUUCAGUCUCAAUUUCAGCCUCACUAAUAGACCUUUUCUGUGCCUUGCAAUUCCUACCUGUCCAAAAGUACAUCCAUCUUCCUAAAGGCACUGGAUUCUCGUGGACAGAAAGACUAGUUGAAAAAUCACUGGAGAUUUUAUUGUAAUUUACCACUAAAGACAUUCUUUGUGCUGUCUAUGAGCAACCAAUACCCUCAGACUGAAAUAUUUCAGUAUGUCUCUAUACUAUGGAGUAAGGCUUUGUUGGAAAAAAAACCCCAACAAACACCAAAAACAAAACUAAGAAAACCAAACCCAAACCUGUUACUUUAACUACAGCUUUACUAAAAUUGCUUACAAAAAUCCAGCAGGCCACCAAAUUGACAAAGGCGGCAGAGUCUUUAAAAUCUGUUGUGUUGUCCCGAUGUUGCAUAGCCACAUUCCCAUGCAUAAAACCAAUUGUUUUCCUUUUCUAGAGGGAAAGUCAUUUUGAAUGGGCCAGUGGAAACUCUUUGUGGAGUCUCUCCUCACUCCCAACUAUGUGGCUUUAGAAUCGAUUGCCCCAGCAUGACUCCAUUUCAGAUACAGACUGAAAAAGUCAGAUCAAGGAGAACAACUGGAAAAAGCAUUUUGAACAUGUGUCCUGGUUUCAGCUGGGAUAGAGUUAGUUUUCUUUCUAGUAGCUGGUAUAGUGUUAUGUUUUGGAUUUAGGAUGAGAAGAAUGUUGAUAACACACUGAUGUUUUCAGUUGUUGCUAAGUGGUGUUUAUACUAAGUCAAGGAUUUUUCAGCUUCUCAUGCUCAGCCAGCAAGAAGGCUGGAGGGGCACAAGAAGUUGGGAGGGGACACAGCCAGGGCAGCUGACCCAAACUGGCCAAAGGGAUAUUCCACACCAUGUGAUGUCAUGCCCAGUACAUCAGCUGGGGGGAGAUGGCCAGGGGGGCAGAUCACUGCUUGGGGGACUAACUGGGCAUUGGUUGGCGAACGGUGAGCAAUUGCAUUGUGCAUCACUUGUUUUGUAUAUUCCAAUUCUUUUACUCUUGUCAUUUUAUUAUUGUUAUGAUUAUUAUUUUCUUCCUUUCUGUCCUAUUAAACUGUCUUUAUCUCAACCCAUGAUUU